UACGUAGGUGGCGAGCGUUGUCCGGAUUUACUGGGCGUAAAGAGCGCGCAGGCGGUCGUACAAGUCGCGUGUGAAAGCCCCCGGCUCAACUGGGGAGGGUCACGCGAUACUGUUCGACUCGAAGGCAGGAGAGGGAAGCGGAAUUCCCGGUGUAGUGGUGAAAUGCGUAGAUAUCGGGAGGAACACCAGUGGCGAAGGCGGCUUCCUGGCCCGGUACUGACGCUGAGGUGCGAAAGCGUGGGGAGCAAACAGG
rnacentral:rRNA from 1 species